rnacentral:rRNA from 1 species
CCCUUAGAUGUUCUGGGCUGCACGCGCGCUACACUGAUGCACUCAACGAGUUUACGAGCUUGUCCGAGAGGAUUGGCUAAUCUUUUUAAAAUGCAUCGUGAUGGGGAUAGAUUAUUGCAAUUAUUAAUCUUCAACGAGGAAUUCCUAGUAAGCGCGAGUCAUCAGCUCGUGCUGAUUACGUCCCUGCCCUUUGUACACACCGCCCGUCGCUCCUACCGAUUGAACGUUUUAGUGAGGUAUUUGGACUGGACCUUCGGAGGUUCGCGCCUCCGUUGCUGUUCGGGAAGACUCCCAAACUUGAGCGUUUAGAGGAAGUAAAAGUCGUAACA